GAUGAACGCUGGCGGCGUGCCUAAUACAUGCAAGUCGAGCGAACAGAUGAGGAGCUUGCUCCUCUGACGUUAGCGGCGGACGGGUGAGUAACACGUGGAUAACCUACCUAUAAGACUGGGAUAACUUCGGGAAACCGGAGCUAAUACCGGAUAAUAUAUUGAACCGCAUGGUUCAAUAGUGAAAGACGGUUUUGCUGUCACUUAUAGAUGGAUCCGCGCCGCAUUAGCUAGUUGGUAAGGUAACGGCUUACCAAGGCAACGAUGCGUAGCCGACCUGAGAGGGGGAGCGGCCGCCGUGGAAAGGGGCAACGGUCCAGACCCCGAAGGGAGGCAGGAGGAGGGAAUUUUCCGCAAGGGGGGAAAGGCUGAAGGAGCAACGCCGCGGGAGUGAUGAAGGUCUUCGGAUCGUAAAACUUCUUUAAUGGGGAAGAACAAAUUGUGAAGUAACUAUGCCCGUCUUAAGGGUACCUAAGAAGAAAGCCACGGCUAACUACGG
rnacentral:rRNA from 1 species